AUUUCAUACUCUUAUCUGCUAUCGCUGAAAAACAUUCUUAUCUGUCAUUGAAAAAUAAAUUCACAGAUAUGAUAAUUGGUGCUUGCACAAAAAGGUUAUAAGAGCUUACUUUUCCUGCUGCAUAGCCAUAGUCUCGUGACCAUACGUAAGUUUUGAAACGGUGCUCGCUUUGCUCGUAUGCAAUCGUCCUAAAUUCUUGCGAUACAAAAUUUUAGAAGAAACCACUGCUGCGCAUCAGUGUCCGGCUAUUCAAACAUGGAACACCGUAUGUCGCCCGGUGUGUCCGCAAUAGUGUAACGUGCACAUUUAUUGUCAAUCUAUUAUUUGCCAUUCACCAGCGUGUACCUGCUCUUCUGGCUACAUAUUGAAGGGAAGUGCAUGCGUUAAGCCUCAAGACUGCUGAAUGAAAAUUUUGACAACUGUACACAUAUUGUAAUGCAUUUGAUUAGUGCAAAUAUUUUAGUUUGCAAUACUCAGAGUAAGUCGUAAGAAUAUCAAUAUACGCAAUAAAAGAGUAUAAUUACCGGUUUUUAAAAUAAUUUUCGCAAAUAUAACGCAUAUUAAAAACAAA